AAAAUGGCGCUGUGCUGUGCAAUUAGUAAUGAGGUGCCUGAACAGCCAGUCAUUUCUCCUGUGUCUGGGCACAUUUAUGAGAGGCGCCUUAUUGAGAAGUACAUCAAAGAAAAUGGGUCCGAUCCCAUGAAUGGGGAGAAACUAGGAAUAGAAAUGCUGGUAGAUGUUAAAGCUUCAGCACUUGUAAAACCUAGACCUCCUUCUGCUACAAGUAUACCAGCAAUACUCAAAUCAUUACAAGAUGAAUGGGAUGCUGUGAUGUUACACAGUUUUACAUUGAGGCAGCAACUUCAAACAGCCAGACAAGAACUUUCCCAUGCCCUAUAUCAGCACGAUGCAGCUUGCCGUGUGAUCGCUCGUCUCACCAAAGAAGUCACAGCUGCUAGAGAAGCUUUGGCCACCCUCAAACCCCAGGCAGGAAUAACAGCUGGAGCUUACAUUGCUCCUGCCCCACAACCAACUUAUGGAGCAGAAGCUGGGCCUGAAUCUGCUAUUCAACCCAUGGAGGAAACAGGCAUGAGUGAGGAAGUGCUGCAAAAAUUGCAAGACAAAGCCACACUUCUUACAGCCGAAAGGAAAAAGAGAGGUAAAACUGUACCAGAGGGACUGGCAACAACAGAGGAUAUCAAAUCAUUCAAGCAGCUGGCCUCUCACACAGGCCUGCACAGUGCCAGUGUUCCUGGAAUAUUGGCUUUGGACAUCUGCUUGAAGGACACUUCCAAGAUUGUUACAGGUGGUAAUGACAAGAAUGCAGUUGUUUUCAACAAGGACACUGAGCAGGUCAUGGCCAUUCUGAAAGGUCACUCAAAGAAGGUCACCAGUGUCAUUUAUCAUCCAGAAGAUGAGAUAGUGUUCACUGCAUCCCCUGACGCAACCAUCCGUGUGUGGGGUGUGGAGACAGCUCAGUGUGGUCAGGUGAUCAGAGCUCACGAUGCCCCCGUCACUGGAAUCAGUCUCCACGCCACUGGGGACUACCUGCUUAGCUCUUCUACAGACAUGCAUUGGGCCUUUUCUGACAUUCGACAAGGACGCGUUUUGACCAAAGUUAGCGAUCCAUCAUCUCAGCAUGCUCUCACCUGUGCCCAGUUUCACCCUGAUGGUCUUAUUUUUGGCACUGGUACCGAGGACUCCAUGAUAAAGAUUUGGGAUUUGAAGGGAAGGCUGAAUGUGGCCAACUUCCCCGGCCACCAAGGACCCAUCACUAGCAUUGCUUUCUCAGAAAAUGGUAAGGUUUACUGCGUUUUGUCAACCAUUAAAUAGGGUGACAGAGGAGGAAAAAAAAUUUUUUUUGGUACAUAAUAUUACAUUCAUUUUAUGAUAAGCAGCUUGAAAUUAUGGAAUUUAUAAAUAUUUGGUUUGAUUAUGUACAAGUUAUUGUAGAAUACAGAUCAACAGCAGGAUUUAGGUAGAAAAUGCACAUUCUGUGUUGAAUUUUAAGCAUCACUUCCAACAAAUGUGAAAUAAAUUUAAUAUUCCUAUAGUUUUUAGUUUUUAAUAAUCUGUUAAAAAAAAUAUAUCAUGUACAUUUCUUUAGAUAGUUUAAUCUUUUAUGUGUAAAUUUACACUUUGAAUGUUAUUAGGUUACUACUUGGCUACUUCCGCUGAAGAUUCUGUCGUCAAAUUGUGGGAUUUGAGAAAACUCAAGAAUUUCAAGACACUUCAACUUACAGACAAAUAUGAGGUGAGGUCCCUUGCCUUUGACCAGAGUGGAACGUACUUGAGUGUUGCUGGAUCAGAUGUCAGGGUUUACCUGUGCAAGCAGUGGCAGGAGUUGAUUUCAUUCAACGACCACACCGCCAUGGCCACAGGAGUCAGGUUUGGACACAACGCAACAUUUGUGGCUUCAGGAAGCAUGGAUAGAUCUGUCAAAUUCUUUGGAAUACAAUGAAACUUGAGGGGCAUCUAAGAAAAAACUAAGGAAAAUGUAAAAGAUAAAGCUUCUUACUGUUUGGACUUCCGACUUGAUCCUUUGUCAGCACAGGGAUUUGUUUACUGCAUUUUUAUCAUGGGAAAAUUAUGAAAUUCAGUUAUUGUACAGUUUUAUAUUUUCAGCCUUCAAAGAUUUUUGCAGAAAAAAAUGGAUUAAAUCAAAUUAUGAUAUGUAUUAGAAAUAAUUUGUUGGAUUUAAACCCGUGUGCAUUGUUCAUUCACAAUUUCCAAUCACUUCAUUUUUUUUUUUUUUUGAGGGUAAAAGUUGUCAACAAUUAUGUAGGAAUUUAUGAUAAGGACACUUUCUUGCUUUUAGUACUUUUUGUAUUAUAUACAUGUAUGAAUAUUUGUGUUUAACAUUAGAAUCAUAUGCCAUUUGAUGACAGUAUUGCCAUCAGUUGAAUUCAUGUCAUAAACAUAACGCAGAUAUACUGUCAGAUGACAUAACAGCAUGUAUCUGUUUGAAUUUUAUCUAGUUGAUUAAAUGAAGGAAU
rnacentral:misc_RNA from 1 species